rnacentral:rRNA from 1 species
ACGCUCGACACCUACGGGAGGUAGCAGUGAGGAAUAUUGGUCAAUGGGCGCUAGCCUGAACCAGCCAAGUAGCGUGAAGGAUGAAGGCUCUAUGGGUCGUAAACUUCUUUUAUAUAAGAAUAAAGUGCAGUAUGUAUACUGUUUUGUAUGUAUUAUAUGAAUAAGGAUCGGCUAACUCCGUGCCAUCAGCCGCGGUAAUCUGAGCGGGCUGGCAAGGC